rnacentral:rRNA from 1 species
AUUGAACGCUGGCGGCAGGCCUAACACAUGCAAGUCGAGCGGAUGAAGGGAGCUUGCUCCUGGAUUCAGCGGCGGACGGGUGAGUAAUGCCUAGGAAUCUGCCUGGUAGUGGGGGAUAACGUCCGGAAACGGGCGCUAAUACCGCAUACGUCCUGAGGGAGAAAGUGGGGGAUCUUCGGACCUCACGCUAUCAGAUGAGCCUAGGUCGGAUUAGCUAGUUGGUGGGGUAAAGGCCUACCAAGGCGACGAUCCGUAACUGGUCUGAGAGGAUGAUCAGUCACACUGGCACUGAGACACGGUCCAGACUCCUACGGGAGGCAGCAGUGGGGAAUAUUGGACAAUGGGCCAAAGCCUGAUCCAGCCAUGCCGCGUGUGUGAAGAAGGUCUUCGGAUUGUAAAGCACUUUAAGUUGGGAGGAAGGGCAGUAAGUUAAUACCUUGCUGUUUUGACGUUACCAACAGAAUAAGCACCGGCUAACUUCGUG